CAUUUCCCUGCUGAUCCUUUCCUCUCUCCCUACUCUCAAGAAAAUACAAGAAAAGUCUGACCUUGAUAGCAGCUGUCAGGCACAGACACCCUGCUACACUGAGCUCUGGAGACUUUCCCUACAGCAGACCGAGGCUGGGGGAGCUGAGGAGGUGGUGGGACCGGGAAUCCCAUGGAGAAAGGCUGUGUGACAUGACCAGCCCCCAGGAUGGAUGCAGACAACCCAAAGCCCUGAGCGCCUUUGUGUCAAGCCAAGUUCAAGGUCCUUCCAGACAGUGGGAAGCAUCCCCUGGAACCAACGCAAACAGUGA
ensembl:lncRNA